rnacentral:rRNA from 1 species
GGAGUCUGGGCCGUGUCUCAGUCCCAAUGUGGCCGGUCGCCCUCUCAGGCCGGCUACGGAUCAUCACCUUGGUGGGCCGUUACCUCACCAACUAGCUAAUUGGACGCGGGUCCAUCCUGUACCACCGGAGUUUUUACCCCUGCACCAUGCGGUGCUGUGGUCUUAUGCGGUAUUAACAGUCGUUUCCAACUGUUAUCCCCCUGUACAGGGCAGGUUACCCACGCGUUACUCACCCGUCCGCCACUCGGAAUAUUCAAAUCCAUCCGAAAACUUCAUCGAAUAUUCCUCGUUCGACUUGCAUGUGUUAAGCACGCCGCCAGCGUUCAUC